GUAUAUUGUUCCGUAGUAUAAAAACGGCUUACAAAUUUAAUUAUAAUUUAUAAUUAUUAAAACUUUCACAAUGAAUCUUUUAAAUCUAUUAGUAUUUGCCAUCGUUACACACUGCUUUACACACUGAAGCUAAAGGUGGCAAGAAAACAGCUGCUGGUGUCGAAGUUGCCAAACAUGUAGGAGCCGCUACUGGCCGGGAAGCUGUAAGACAAGUAGCAGGCAAAUUUUAAAUUGUUUUAAAUAAUAAUAAAGAAUGCCUAUACAUAUGUAUUAUGUACGUGUGUUGACUUUAACAAAA